AUUGCCCUAGUAACGGCGAGUGAAGCGGCAACAGCUCAAAUUUGAAAUCUGGCCCUCGGGUCCGAGUUGUAAUUUGUAGAGGAUGCUUUUGGUGAGGUGCCUUCCGAGUUCCCUGGAACGGGACGCCAUAGAGGGUGAGAGCCCCGUCUGGUUGGAUACCGAGCCUCUGUAAAGCUCCUUCGACGAGUCGAGUAGUUUGGGAAUGCUGCUCUAAAUGGGAGGUAUAUGUCUUCUAAAGCUAAAUACCGGCCAGAGACCGAUAGCGCACAAGUAGAGUGAUCGAAAGAUGAAAAGCACUUUGAAAAGAGAGUUAAAAAGUACGUGAAAUUGUUGAAAGGGAAGCGCUUAUGACCAGACUUGGGCUUGGUUGAUCAUCCUGGGUUCUCCCUGGUGCACUCUUCCAGUUCAGGCCAGCAUCAGUUCGCUGCGGGGGAUAAAAGUUUUGGGAAUGUGGCUCCCUCGGGAGUGUUAUAGCCCAUUGCAUAAUACCCUGCUCCGGACUGAGGUUCGCGCAUCUGCAAGGAUGCUGGCGUAAUGGUCAUCAGCGACCCGUCUUGAAACACGGACCAAGGAGUCGUCUUCGUAUGCGAGUGUUCGGGUGUUAAACCCCUACGCGUAAUGAAAGUGAACGCAGGUGAGAGCUUCGGCGCAUCAUCGACCGAUCCUGAUGUUCUCGGAUGGAUUUGAGUAAGAGCAUACGGGGCCGGACCCGAAAGAAGGUGAACUAUGCCUGUAUAGGGUGAAGCCAGAGGAAACUCUGGUGGAGGCUCGCAGCGGUUCUGACGUGCAAAUCGAUCGUCAAAUAUGGGCAUGGGGCGAAAGACUAAUCGAAUCUUUCUAGUAGCUGGUUUCCGCCGAAGUUUCCCUCAGGA
rnacentral:rRNA from 2 species